rnacentral:rRNA from 1 species
GAUGAACGCUGGCGGCGUGCUUAACACAUGCAAGUCGAACGGGAAUUAUUUUAUUGAAACUUCGGUCGAUUUAAUUUAAUUCUAGUGGCGGACGGGUGAGUAACGCGUGGGUAACCUGCCUUAUACAGGGGGAUAACAGUCAGAAAUGGCUGCUAAUACCGCAUAAGCGCACAGAGCUGCAUGGCUCAGUGUGAAAAACUCCGGUGGUAUAAGAUGGACCCGCGUUGGAUUAGCUGGUUGGUGGGGUAACGGCCCACCAAGGCGACGAUCCAUAGCCGGCCUGAGAGGGUGAACGGCCACAUUGGGACUGAGACACGGCCCAGACUCCUACGGGAGGCAGCAGUGGGGAAUAUUGCACAAUGGGGGAAACCCUGAUGCAGCGACGCCGCGUGAAGGAAGAAGUAUCUCGGUAUGUAAACUUCUAUCAGCAGGGAAGAUAGUGACGGUACCUAACUAAGAAGCCCCGGCUAACUACGUG